rnacentral:tRNA from 1 species
AAGAAAGUGACAGAGCGGUUAUGUGACUGGCUAACAACUAGUUUACGGGGGUUCGAUUCCUUCCUUUCUCG